rnacentral:rRNA from 1 species
UACGGAGGGUGCAAGCGUUAUCCGGAUUCACUGGGUUUAAAGGGUGCGUAGGCGGGCAGGUAAGUCCGCGGUGAAAUCCUGGAGCUUAACCCCAGAACUGCCGUUGAUACUAUCUGUCUUGAAUACUGUGGAGGUGAGCGGAAUAUGUCAUGUAGCGGUGAAAUGCUUAGAUAUGACAUAGAACACCAAUUGCGAAGGCAGCUCACUACACAGCCAUUGACGCUGAGGCGCGAAAGCGUGGGGAGCAAACAGG